rnacentral:rRNA from 1 species
AGCAGCCGCCACGGUAAUACGGAGGGUGCAAGCGUUAAUCGGAAUUACUGGGCGUAAAGCGCACGCAGGCGGUCUGUCAAGUCGGAUGUGAAAUCCCCGGGCUCAACCUGGGAACUGCAUUCGAAACUGGCAGGCUAGAGUCUUGUAGAGGGGGGUAGAAUUCCAGGUGUAGCGGUGAAAUGCGUAGAGAUCUGGAGGAAUACCGGUGGCGAAGGCGGCCCCCUGGACAAAGACUGACGCUCAGGUGCGAAAGCGUGGGGAGCAAACAGGAUUAGAUACCCCAGUAGUCCCUGUCUCUUAUAC